CUGAGUACGGCGGAACACGUGAAAUUCCGUCGGAAUCCGGGAGGACCAUCUCCCAAGGCUAAAUACUCCCUAGUGACCGAUAGUGAACCAGUACCGUGAGGGAAAGGUGAAAAGCACCCCGGAAGGGGAGUGAAACAGUUCCUGAAACCGUGUGCCUACAAGUAGUUAGAGCCCGUUAAUGGGUGAUAGCGUGCCUUUUGUAGAAUGAACCGGCGAGUUACGAUUUGUUGCAAGGUUAAGCGGAAAAAGCGGAGCCGUAGCGAAAGCGAGUCUGAAUAGGGCGCAUAAGUAACAGGUCGUAGACCCGAAACCAGGUGAUCUACCCAUGUCCAGGAUGAAGGUAAGGUAAUACUUACUGGAGGUCCGAACCCACGCACGUUGAAAAGUGCGGGGAUGAGGUGUGGGUAGCGGAGAAAUUCCAAUCGAACUUGGAGAUAGCUGGUUCUCUCCGAAAUAGCUUUAGGGCUAGCCUCGAGGUAAAGAGUCAUGGAGGUAGAGCACUGUUUGGACU
rnacentral:rRNA from 1 species